UGAAAUCUCAGGGCUCAACCCUGAAACUGCGUCUGAAACUGCUAGUCUAGAAUAUCGGAGGGGGCAGGGGAAUUUCACGUGUAGGGGUAAAAUCCGUAGAGAUGUGAAGGAACACCGGAGGCGAAGGCGCCUGCCUGGACGAUACUUGACGCUGAGGCGCGAAAGCGUGGGGAGCAAACAGGAUUAGAUACCCUGGUAGUCCACGCCGUAAACGAUGAACACUAGUUAUUGGGGGUAUUGACUCCCUCAGUGACGCAGCUAACGCAUUAAG
rnacentral:rRNA from 1 species